AAGGACUUUGUCUGGCGUAGCUUCGGGAGGGCGGGUGGGCGAAAGGGGGCUUUAAGGGUGGCGGCGGUGAUGGAUGGAGGUUUGUGGGUAGUGGCGGGGCUGUUGUUGGGGUUGAGGAGGGCGAGACAUUCGCAGAGGCAUGAGGGACAGAAGCCGGUGAAGGCUUCGUCAGGGUGGCUGGGGUAGGAGGUGAAUCUUCGUCAGUGUUGAGGGUGAUGAAAUCAAACACGACCAUGCAAAGGUUGAUAAUGACCCUGGGUUUCACUCCCAACCUGACAAGUCCAAAACUGUGAUUGAGAAUGAUGCAGUGUUUUCUAGUCCAACUUUGGAAUCAAAAACUAAAAUCCUUGGCAGUAGUAGUUCACUGCAGCAGAAUGCAAACAUGGAGCAUAAGUUAGAUCAUUCGGGUCAUGGAAGUAAUCAAGUUAGUGACUAUAAUUGUGGUCAAACUCAAGAUGUAGAUGUGAACUCUAAAAGUUGUUAUUGUGCUCAGGAGAAUUCAUUUGUUCUAUUUUCUGUUGCUCUUGAAUGUUGUUUUUGUGCUUAAAGAGAUUUCAUCUGUUCUUUUUUCUGCUGCUAGUUAUUUAGGUCUUGACUGCAAUUGGGAACUUCUGCAUAUGUUCAAUUGCCGUGGGAAUGUUUAUUGAGAUUAUUGUUAUGUAUCCCAUCUAAGAUCGACAAUAUCGCCCUGGAAUUGAUAACCUUCUUAUGCUUCUCAUUGGUGGAAUCCCAAUUGCCAUGCCCACAGUUCUCUGAGUGACUAUGGCCAUUGGUUCUCAUAGGCUAUCGCAGCAGGUAUGUUAGGUUCAAUUAAGUAUGUUUGGUGGACAUUUGCUAGAAAUAGUGAUUAAUUGGUUAUAUGAUUUUUUUUUGUGGUCAUAUUUAUUUUUCAAUUUUAAUCUUUAAAUAAAAGAUUUUUAAAAUAUAAAUAAUUAUUUUAGUGACGAUAUCUUCAAUUUUAACUAUUCUUUUGAUUUGACAUUAAAUUUAAACUUAAUCAUAUUUAUAAUUAUAAAACUAUAUACCAUACAACGUCGUAUUUGUUAAAAAUUGAUAUAUAAAGAAACUUAUGGAAAAGGCCAAUUUAUUCUAAUGACGACAUUGCAUUAAAGUGAUUAAUUGGUUAUAUUGUUUGGUGGACAAUUGAGAAUCAAGAUGCUAUAGACACUGCCAUAGUUGGGAUGUUAGCUGAUCCAAAAGAGGUUAGUCAUUGAUAUGUUAAUUCCUUUGAUGGCGUCUUUAUUAUCUUGAAUCCUCUGUAGCUAUAAUAUGCACUGCAUCAUAAUUUUUGUUCUGUACUCAUCUUUGUAUAUUAAUUUUCUUUUCUAUCUUGCUUCUAUUAAGGCUCGUCUCGGUAUCAGAGAAGUCCAUUUCCUUCCUUUCAAUCCCAUUGAUAAGAGAACGACAUUGACAUAUAUUGAUCGUGAUGGUAAAAUGCAGAGUAAGCAAAGGUGCACCAGAACAGGACGUUCUAGAUGGAAACAAAGAGAGUCUAGGUGGCCCAUGGCAGUUUAUUGGCCUUUUGCCUCUGUUUGACCCACCUAGGCAUGAUAGUGCAGAAACAAUACACAGGGCACUUAACCUUGGAGUCAAUUUUAAAAUGAUUACAGGAAACAUUUAUGGAAUGACUGGUGAUGGAGUGAAUGACGCACCUGCAUGCACUCAAGAAGGCCGACAUUUUUAUAGCUGUUGCUGACGCAAUUGAUGCAGCUCG